AAGAAAGGUAUUGAUAAGAGUGAAAAUUCUAUCACAAGUCAUUUUACUAGCAUUGAAGACAUUUUUGAAGGAUAUGUCAUGUUGUAGUACAGAGUUUCAUUAUAGUUGAAAACAAGAAGUGAUUAGCAGUGCCUAAAAAAACAGAUUUUGGAGAAAGACUUAAUCAGACCAAUAUUUCAACUUGGUUCAGUGCUAUCCAAAAUGCUAGAAACUGUCAUAUGUAAAUUAAUUUAUUCUAACCUUAUAUUUAUGAACAUUUUAUAGCAGGAGAUAUAUUUUGCAGUGUCAAUACACAAAGGUUCUGGUUAACAAUCAGCUGGACAGGUUCAUUCAGUAGUAGGUUUAGAAGUACGGACUCAUUCAGUGUACAUCCCUUCAUUUCAGAUUUCCAAAGAUGAACUGUGUCAGGCUGUUGACGUGGACGCAUGCGGAUCCUGUUCAACUAACCCUCCAGAGAUUUCCAAAGAUGAAAGGUGUCAGGCUGGUGACGUGGAUACAUGCGGAUCCUGUUCAACCAACCCUCCAGAGAUUUCCAUAGAAGAACCGUGUCAGGCUGGUCAUGUGGAUGCGUACAGAUCCUGUUCAACCAACCCUCCAGAGAUUUCCAAAGAUGAGCUGUGUCAGGCUGGUGAGGUAGAUGCAUGCAGAACCUGUUCAACCAACCCUGCAGAGCACAAAGUAAACACAGAGAUGGUAAGGGGAAAGAACUCAACAGAAAACUAAAACGGAAGGACAUAGAGCCCCGCAGAAAAAUGAACACAAAUAAAAAUUCUGCAUCUCUGGAAAGUGCUAGGAGAGCAAAAAAGCAUCCAUGGUCUCCCGUAGAGGUUGCUGCGGUCAUGAGGCACUUUGGUGAACACAUCAAGAAAGGACAACUGGCCACUAUGAUAGAAUGCCAGCAAUGCAAAAAGGCUGAGGAUCCUGCUCUAGCUAGUUGUGAUAUCCAAAACAUAAGAGAUUUUGUGAGAAAUCAGGGUGUAACAUUGAAAGUACUUUCAAUAAAUUAAUCCAGUAUUUCUACUGAUACUAUGAGUAAGUUCAUCUUGUUCACACAAUUUGUUUUAUCUUUUUGAUUUAACAAUAGACCUGUAAUUCAUUUAAUUUUGGCAUUCACAGAUUUUCCUUUAUGUUCACAAAUAGAAUUGUUGCUCUAGUUCUUAGAGCAGAAGGUGCUGUAAAUGCAGUCCACUUUCUGCGUAGUUAUAUUCCAUAUUUCCAUGUUUGGACUUAAUACAAAUACAUUUCAUGUUUGUGUAUGCCGUGGUCCUGAUAAAUAAAGUUGGCCCUGACAAUUACUGUUGGUGUCAUGGGCGGAGCCAAGCACC